AGGCCGGGGCCUGGGCAGGGCAGGCGGGAGCGCGCUUGCGCAGUGAGCGCCGCCUCGUGGAGGCCGUCAGGGUGGAGGGAAGUGAGGGUUGAAAGGUUGUAACCGUAGCAGGUAUCCUACCUCGCUAUUUUUUUCGAAGUUCUUCCUCUUUUUUCCUCCCAUUUGGUUUUCUCCACACUCCUCAGAGGAUAGGAAGUCAGAGUGUCAUUUUACAGCAGAGUGGAUGCAGGCACUGGAACCCUUGGCAGUAGGGGGGGGAAAAUGAGAUAAUCUGCACAACUUGUCUGGAUAUGACACCUGCUACUUCUGCCCACAUCUCAUUGGCCAGAGUAAGUCAUGUGACCAAGCCUGACUUCAAAGGGAUGGGACUGUGCAACUCUGCAGUGUGCUCUGAAGAAGAAAAAGAGAAUGUGUGUUCCACAGUCAUGACUACACUAGACAUUUCUUCUUUUACAAGGGUGGCUCCUACAACCACCAGCCUUCUAAAGUGAUUGUGUCCAAACUGGGACUCAGAAAAUUAUUUAUUAUUAUCACUCAUAUAAUAAUAACGAGUGAUAAUAAUAAAUCUUCAAUAGGAAAAAUGGAGCCAUGCAAGUUUUCAAAUGAAGGCAUAAGUUAUAUAGCAAAUAGGGACAUUAAUUUGGCAGCUGUGAGUAGGAAGGUUUGGAGGGGAGGAAGAAGAUUGGGAGACUUGCAAGAGGUGUGGUGACGUGGAAUUACACAGAAAGUUCUAGAAGAAAUAAAUACAUUAAAUCAUUUUUUAAUUUAAA